AGAAGAAGUACAGCUGCCUGACUCGCUUUGAACCGCACGUCAGCUGAUGCAGACUCACCUCUUCCUGGUUGUUAACAGAAGGAGCCAAAAGAGCUCGAGGCCCAAACCAUAGCAACAAGUUGGCAGUUGUCAGUCAGACAUGAAAAAGGGGGAACGUGUGAAUGUGAACAAGCGCCCCUGAUGGAUUCGAACAGGUGAUUUUUGGUGUCACUUGUUAAACAUUCGGCUGCCAUGUAUUGUACUUUUUAAAGAUGUUCAGAAGGCUUGUUGGAGCGUCAGUCAGUGAAGCUGCUGUUUGAUCACAGACUCAUUAACUUCAGGUUAAAGCGCCGGAAGGCAGCCGCCGCUGUCUUCUGUCCGGCAGAAUAAUUCACCCUCUCAUCUUCUCAAAGAUCUGAAGAGGAGUCUGUAGGCAGAUGGGGAGUGCAAUGACCCUCCCUGACAGGCUAUAGGCCCACAUGCCCGGGGCCCAUUGCUCCUGGCAGCCGGAAAAAAGGGCAGGAUAAGGAAAGGGAAAGUGCAGACUGUAUGAAAGGAGCGCUCCUAUCAUGUGUCAGGCAUGCACCGUGCAGAGGUUAUGCUGAUUUCAGGAGUAUCAAACAUUUGAAGAUACCUUAAAAAACUUUUUAAAAUGAGCAAAUGCAAUGGUGUAUGUCCGGCUCUAAAGGCUUAAAACUUGCUACAGCAAAUGAAAUAUGCCACAAACUGAUCUUUUGUCACAUGAAAUGUUUUACUCUGAGGAUUUUAUCUUAUCUAUUUGCUUUUGUAUGACCUUAAACAGUCGUUGUAAGAAGUGAAGGACGGAUACUUUCUAAUAUUCAACUGAAAUGAAUGUUAAAACCUCGUCACACGUACAGACUCAGAGAGUCGAGAGACUUCCUAAACAAUAAUCUUGACAUAACGAAAUGGACGUGUGUUAAAAAAGAUUUCUUUUUGUAUCAUUCCGAUUUAUCUUUUCAUUUCAUUUUUGAAUAAAUCAACAGGCACAUCCGUUAAAUUGAAUGCAUUUUAUUUGAAAUAAUUCCAAAAGAUUAAUUGAAUUGAUUAGAAGGUGAAGGUGUGAGAGAGACAUCAGAUUUUAAUACACAGAACUGUUAUCUGUCUUAUUGACAAAGUCACAUAUAAAGGAUGCGAUGGAUUGA